rnacentral:rRNA from 1 species
UGGGGAAUAUUGGACAAUGGGGGGAACCCUGAUCCAGCCAUGCCGCGUGUGUGAAGAAGGCCUAUGGUUGUAAAGCACUUUAAGCGAGGAGGAGGGUACUGGUAUUAAUACUACCAGGUACUGGACGUUACUCGCAGAAUAAGCACCGGCUAACUCUGUGCCAGCAGCCGCGGUAAUACAGAGGGUGCGAGCGUUAAUCGGAUUUACUGGGCGUAAAGCGUGCGUAGGCGGCUAAUUGAGUCGGAUGUGAAAUCCCCGAGCUUAACUUGGGAAUUGCAUUCGAUACUGGUUAGCUAGAGUGUGGGAGAGGAUGGUAGAAUUCCAGGUGUAGCGGUGAAAUGCGUAGAGAUCUGGAGGAAUACCGAUGGCGAAGGCAGCCAUCUGGCCUAACACUGACGCUGAGGUACGAAAGCAUGGGGAGCAAACAGG